UACGGGGGGGGGUAAGCGUUGUUCGGAAUUACUGGGCGUAAAGGGCUCGUAGUCGGCCAACUAAGUCAGACGUGAAAUCCCUCGGCUUAACCGGGGAACUGCAUCUGAUACUGGAUGGCUUGAGUUCGGGAGAGGGAUGCGGAAUUCCAGGUGUAGCGGUGAAAUGCGUAGAUAUCUGGAGGAACACCGGUGGCGAAGGCGGCAUCCUGGACCGACACUGACGCUGAGGAGCGAAAGCCAGGGGAGCAAACGGG
rnacentral:rRNA from 1 species